UACACAUAUCUGCAAUUUUCUUAUGCUGUGUCUUGGAGAAGAUUAUUUUGAAUUGAAGUUUUAACAUGACCUAUGUUCAUGCUCCAUGAACUUGAAUAUCCGAAUCUCUCCUCAGACCUGCCAGAGAAAUUGCUUAUUUCACAGAAGGAUGGUGCUGGCUGAAAGACAUUCUUGAAAUGGAGGGAUUACUGCCUUCCACAGGUUCCCCUGAAGAUGUAUUUUAUUUGCAUUUUAAUUCUUAGAGCUAAAAGGCACGAGCAUGAACUAUUGAGGAUAUUAACUCUGAAACUUUGUCUGCAUUGUUUCUGUUUGCAUGCUGUAUAGUGUGUUACAUAGGAAUCUAUCAACAAAAAUAUAUACUCCUGGCUAUAAAUUAGGUUUGACUAUUCAUUUGAUAAAAGCUACACCUAUCCUUUUGAUAAUAAAUAAAUAAAUACACAAUAGAUUGAUAAUGUCUAGUGUUGGUGAAAGUAUGGGGAAGCAGUUACAGUCAUUCUUACAUAUAGUGGUGACUGCUGCAACAUUUUGGGAAGGUAAUCUGGACAGCAUGUAGCAAUAUUUUAAAAUCCUUUUUUUCUUUUAGGAAUUCAUUUAAUGACAACCUAUUGAGCACAGACUAUGGAGCAGCAACCAUUCUAGUUACUGGGGAUAUGGCAGUGGCAAAAUGAAGUCCUUAACCUCAUGGAUCAUGCUUUUAUUUGGAGUGGGAAUGGAGACAGAAAAUAAACAAACAACUAAGUACAAAGUAUGUCAGAUGGGGACUAAUGCUCUGGACAAAAUAAAGUAGGGUAAGGGGGAAUAAGAAUACCUGCUUCUUUUGGGGAGGCGUGUCAUUUAUUUUAUAUAAAGUGGUCAUGAAAGGCCCCACUGAGAAAGUGACAGUUGAGUAGUAAUUUGAAGGAAGUGAGAGAAAUAAGGACAUCUGGAGACCUGAGCAACAGAGUUCCUAGUAGGGGCAACAGUGAAUAUAAGAAAUUCUAAGGUGGAGGCUUCUUAUUGGAUCAAUGGACUAGUGCUGAGGCCAGUGUGUCUUUUGUAAACAUUGAUAAUGGCAUUUCAUUAUUCAAAUUUCUGAAAUGUUUCUGUUUUCAAAUCUAUCAGCCUCUUUCUUUACAGUUUUGAACUUCGAAAAUAUGUUUAGAAUGACCUUCCAUGUGCUCACAAUUAUGAAAAAAAAUACGGUUGGCCCUCUGUAUCUGCAGGUUCUGUAUCCAUGGAUUCGACCAACUGUGGAUUAAAAAUGUAUUGUAAAAAAAUUCCAGAAAGUUCCAAAAGCGAAACUUGAGUUUGUACCAUGCCUGCAGCUAUUUACAUAGCAUUUUACAACUAUUUACAUAGCAUUUACAUUGCAAUAGGUAUUAUAAGUAAUUUAGAGAUGAUUUAAAGUAUAUGGGAGUUGUGCGUAGGUUAUGUAUGAAAAUGCUAUGCCAUUUUAUAUGCGGGGCUUGAGCACCGUCCAAUUUUGGUAUCUGUGGGGGAUCCUGGAACCAAUCCCCCAUACAUACUGAAGGAUGACUGUAGUUUUUUCUUUUAAACUCUACUGAUAAGUGUGUUCACACUUAGAACUUUUUGAAACUAGAUGUUAACUAUGAAAAUGAUCAUGCAGUGAUUGUACAUCACUACAGUAUGUAUCCUAAAAUCAUCUAUGUUUAUGUUGACAGAUUCUUUGCUUGAUUGACCAAACUUUAGUUAGGGUCCUGAACCUUCUCCUGGACUCACCUGUAUACUUCCUUGUAAAAUCCAGUUUUAGCAAGAACCCUGCCAAGUCAGUUUAGCAAGAGACCCCCAUCCUCAAUAUCUGAUCACCCUCUAUAUCUGAUCAGGUUCUUCAUCCUUCACCACCCCCAGAUGAUGCCUAAUUACCCUGGCCUAUCUUCAGCAAAGAACCCUGUUAGGUCAGUUUAGGUGAAAUUCUCCUUAUCCCUGGUGUUCCCCUUAAUAAUUUUCCAUCCACUACCCUCCCUCCCCUUCCACUCCUGGGCUGUAUAUUCCCACUUGCCCUGUAUUUGCAAUUAAUCCAGGUUUGGUACUGAGUCACUUUUACCUUAUUGCGAUAGUCCUGAGUAAAACUUGUUUUUGCUGCUUUAACUACUGCCCAGCUCUGGUUUUUAUUCGAGAAUGUUUAGUCUGCAGUGGAGCAUCUGAGUCAGUCUAGAGUUUUGUAGGUUUCUUAAUAUUAGGAAGAUCAUUAGCUAUUAUAAAGUUAGAAAUCUUUGUGUGAGUAGGUGACUAUGUUUUUCUUUUUGUAUUAGUAUGAAUAAGCAUUUAAUAUGGUUAUAAUAGCAUAUAACUCAAUGUCUUUUUUUGAGAAAAUACUAAUCAUGAAUUAUUAUGAUGGAUCAGUGUUGGAUGAUAUUAUUUUCUGUGGUUACCUUAAAUAUAUAGUUAAAAAUGCCUGUCAAUGCAAAAGAUCAAAUUUGACUAUACUCUACCCAGUGAUGAAUGGCAAAUAUGCUGAAAACUUAGGUUAACCCAGAAUUAUUUACUUUCUUCAAGAUUCCAGUUAUUAAAACUUGCAAAUACAACACUAGAUUAAACUUUCAUUUUUUGUUUCUGGCUUGGUCUAGGUACACAUGGAGUCCUCCUUUUGGAAUGUAAGUCUUAUGUAUGACUUGCUUUGAGGAAGAGAUGCUCGUUAGUAUUAAAAUUUGUAUAUGAACAGUUAAAUGUUAUACUAUUGAUGGGUUAUAUAUCUUUUAUUGUUACUAAUUAUAUUGCCCUUAGAACCUUUGAAAAAUCUGUUGAUAACUUCCAUUUCUAACAGGAAUCAUGUUAUUCAUAGGGCCUCAGCUAAAGGGAUACUAAUAUAUAUAUUAGAGGUGCAUUCAGUGUUGGAAUUGUGUGACCUCUUAUACCAUAAUCAUUAAAACCCAGGACUUCUUCAUAUACUGCCUUAAACGGGAUUCUGGGAUCCUUCUAUGUAUACUGGUCUAAUUUCCUCAAUGACAUUAGAAGUUCCUUGAGGAGAUUACACGUGGGAAAAUAGCACAACAAGUUUUUAAGUGAAGUAGGGAGGUAAACAUUACAAUUUUGACCCAUAAUUUCAGAGUAAAAUAUGAUCAUUAUCAGCUAGCAGUCAUGUUUUUCCAUUUCUGGUCAAAUUAGGUGUCCACUGUUUCUCUAACAUUUGCAGAAAAUUGGUUCAAUAGUCUGUACAUGAAUUAUUCCCCUUUCUGGUAUGAAUAAACAUGCAAUGGAAAAUAUUAAUUAAAGCAAGUCUGGUUAUUCAAACAAUGCAUUAUUUAGGAAAGAUCUCUAAUAUUUAAUGCUAAUUUUCUUUCUUGUAUGUCAACAAUCUCCAUGAUUUUUUGUUGUUUAAAUUUAUAAGUGAUUAAUCAAAAGCACAAAUAGAUAUAGGAAUCUUAAGAUCUAAUAUCCUCAUUCAUAACAACUCUUUAGUAGUGGUCCCUAAAAGAUAUCAAAUACUUAUUGUUUUACAAAGCCUGGUGGUAACAUUCUCUGUGUUGCCUAAGGGUAGCAGUUCUUCAACUGAAUGUUUUUACUAUGACAUUUUUUAUUUCUUGUUGUGAUGUACAUUAAGGUUAAUAUAACUUGUGUUCUUAAAGCGAUUCCUUCAAAAGGAAAUGUCGUGAGCUAGAAGUUCAUCUUCAAACCCAAUGGCAAGGACAGCUCUUUAAAGUGAUUUUAAUGAAUUAUCAAUUUUAUGCUGAUACACUACAGUGCCUAUAAAUACCUACAUAUUUUCUGGGAAUGCAUGCAUGAAACUAUACACACGUUGUCCUUUGUUAGAAUGCAAAGCAUUGAUGUCUGUCUUUAAAAACUAUUUUCAAUUUCAUUUGGAGAUGGCCAAGUUUUAAUUAAAUAAAAAUGUCAGGAAUAAUGAAUAAAGAUGGAAAAAUGAGAUAAAAAUUCAUCAACCUGGCAGACCUUGCUGAUUUGGCAUUAAAGAAGUUGUAUUUAAGAUCUAAUUUUAACAACAUUCUUCAAUAAUGUGACACAGUAAAGGAAUAUUCUUCACGGACUACUUUACUUCUAAUUUGCUAAAUAAUGCAUUUCUAAUUGCUAAAAUAAUAGUCAGUGAAGGGAC